GUCGUCAGCUCGUGUCGUGAGAUGUUGGGUUAAGUCCCGCAACGAGCGCAACCCUUAAUCUUAGUUGCCAGCAUUUAGUUGGGCACUCUAAGAUGACUGCCGGUGACAAACCGGAGGAAGGUGGGGAUGACGUCAAAUCAUCAUGCCCCUUAUGACCUGGGCUACACACGUGCUACAAUGGAUGGUACAAAGGGCAGCGAAGCCGCGAGGUGAAGCAAAUCCCAUAAAACCAUUCUCAGUUCGGAUUGUAGGCUGCAACUCGCCUACAUGAAGCCGGAAUCGCUAGUAAUCGCGGAUCAGCAUGCCGCGGUGAAUACGUUCCCGGGA
rnacentral:rRNA from 2 species